AAGAAACUAUAGAUUAUUGCAGUAUUCAAGCAGGGAAAGCCAAGGCAAUGAUCAGGUACCACCGGCUCCGAAACGUUGCAAAAAUGUGUCGAAUCUUUGAAUUUCUUGUCGCUUUCACGUUGUUGUCACGGUCGUCGACUUGAUGAGGCUCACCAAAGGGCAUUUUCGUUUUUUGUGAACAAAGGGCAUUUUCUUGGCCAGAACCUUAACUUUGAUGGGGGAAUUAGCCAAAACCUCAACAAUUAAUGGUACAGUCAGCUCCCGGGCGAUAGAUUAAACCCUGUCCUGAUCAUUAACCAAGUCGAAAAGAGCAGUGGAGGCGGCUAUUUGAGCAUCAGGAGAGGCCCCUUCUUUCAACAACUUGAGCAAGGGUAUAACUCUACCUUCUUCAACUAUCAUCUUCUUGUUACGAUUGUUGUCUCAGGAAAGGGAGACCAGAUUGUUGGCGGUGUCGUGGCGGUCGUGGAGGAGGCACUCCAUUUGGACGGAGGCGAUGGAGGACCAGAGCAUGGCCAGGAUGAUGUUGUUGUUGGCGGUGGAGAUGAGUCGGCUGACGUCGGCAAUGGAUGAUUCGAGGAGACCGGAGACAUUGCAAAAGUCGGCGCUAGUGGUGAUGGCGAACACUUGCUGAAGAACGCUACUCUGCUAACACUUGUGAACUAGGGUUAGGGCUCGUUCUAAGGUUUUGGAGACGUCAGCAAUGAUGCGGCAAACGAGGCGUUCAUAGAGAAACAACUGGGCAGUGGUCGUGGUUGUGGUCAUGAGGUGGAUAGUGAAUCGGAGGUUGAGGGAGAGCAGAUCCGUUUGCUUGGUGAGAUCAGUGUAAUCGGACUUGGAGGAUUAAGCUUUUUUGGCAGAUUUGAUGAGGCGGUCGGCCAGUAGGACUAGGAGUGAAAGCUCUUAUUGGAUUGACUUCUCAUCCUCUGUCAUUUUUAUCUUUUCGCAUGUAAAAACAAGGGCUUUAGUAGAAGUAUACAUUAAGCAUUGGAAUUGCAUAGAAGUACGCAGCAACGAGAUGGGAUCUGAGGGGCCAAAGGGUGUGACCAUCCAUGUGACUGGAUUCAAGAAAUUCCAAGGGGUUGCUGAGAAUCCUACUGAGACUAUGGUUAGUAAUUUAAAGACUUUUGUUGGAAAGAGAGGCUUGCUGGAUGGUGUUACUCUUGGGAGCUGCACGGUUCUUGAGACUGCUGGAGAUGGUGCACUUCCCAUGCUGUACAAGAUCAUGGAAUUGGGUGUCGCGAAUGGGAAUUCGAGCAAUGGACAAGUCGUAUGGGUUGGUUUAACUACCCGACUCUUUAUAAUUUUAGUAAUUGAUCUAUGGAGGCAAUUUGGUGAAAUUGGUAAUUAUUUUCAAAUUGAAAGAGUAAAGAAUGUUGUAAGCAUUUACUUGGAUAAGAUCAAGCCCAUGAAGGAAAUGUGACAUCCAGAGUGACUGGAGUUGAAGGUGGUUUUGACUCAUAAGUUUGUUGUGUCUGAGUCGCAUUGGGUCAGUGGGAGAGACCCUUAAUUAUUAUUGAAAUAUGAUUUUAAUGAUUCUAGGGAAAGGUUUUCAUUUCCAUUCAGCAUGCUGUUCAUCUGUUAUAAGUUGCCAAAACCAUACAGAGACUGAAGCACAUGCUGAAAGAGAAAGAGACUUCACUUCGGGGUCAAUAACGGGGCAGUAAAAUUUGCAAUUGAGCGGCAGGCAGUAAAUGAAGCCACUUUUUGUUGUCCAGACGAGUUUGGAUGGCAACCUCAG